rnacentral:tRNA from 1 species
UCCCUUGUGGCUCAGAUGGUAAAGAAUCUGCCUGCAAUGCAGGAGACUCAGGUUCAAAUCCUGGGUCGGGAA